GGCUCAGAACGAACGCUGGCGGCGUGCCUAACACAUGCAAGUCGAGCGCGAAAAGGGCAACCUGAGUAGAGCGGCGCACGGGUGCGUAACACGUGGAUAAUCUGCCCUUGAGUCUGGGAUAACCUUCCGAAAGGUCGGCUAAUACCAGAUAAGCCUACGGAGACUUCGGUCUCAGAAGGAAAAGUGGACCUCUAUUUAUAAGUUCACACUCGAGGAUGAGUCCGCGGCCCAUCAGUUAGUUGGCGGGGUAAUGGCCCACCAAGACUACGACGGGUAGCUGGUCUGAGAGGACGAUCAGCCACACUGGAACUGAGACACGGUCCAGACUCCUACGGGAGGCAGCAGUGGGGAAUUUUCCACAAUGGGCGAAAGCCUGAUGGAGCAACGCCGCGUGUGUGAUGAAGGUCUUCGGAUUGUAAAGCACUUUCGACCGGGACGAAAAACCUCUGGCUAACAUCCAGGGGCCUGACGGUACCGGGAGAAGAAGCACCGGCUAACUCUGUGCCAGCAGCCGCGGUAAUACAGAGGGUGCAAGCGUUGUUCGGAAUUAUUGGGCGUAAAGCGCGUGUAGGCGGCUUGAUAAGUCAGAUGUGAAAUCCCUCGGCUUAACCGAGGAAGUGCGUCUGAAACUAUCGAGCUUGAGUGCCGGAGAGGGUGGCGGAAUUCCGCAAGUAGAGGUGAAAUUCGUAGACAUGCGGAGGAACACCGGUGGCGAAGGCGGCCACCUGGACGGCAACUGACGCUGAGACGCGAAAGCGUGGGGAGCAAACAGGAUUAGAUACCCUGGUAGUCCACGCCGUAAACGAUGAGAACUAGGUGUCGUGGGUGUUGACCCCCGCGGUGCCGCAGCUAACGCAUUAAGUUCUCCGCCUGGGAAGUACGGCCGCAAGGGUAAAACUCAAAG
rnacentral:rRNA from 1 species